rnacentral:tRNA from 1 species
GGAGAAGUACCCAAGAGGCUGAAGGGGCGUCCUUGCUAAGGAUGUAGACGGUUUACGCCGUGCGAGGGUUCGAACCCCUCCUUCUCCGCCA